rnacentral:misc_RNA from 1 species
GUAGGUGAACCUGCGGAAGGAUCAUUACAGAGCUUCUAAGCCUGGAGGGUUUACUCUCCAGGCAAGAACUCCACCCUUUGUUUACAUUACCUUUGUUGCUUUAGCAGGCCCGCUUCAGGGCCGCCGGCAAUAGCUGGUCAGCGCCUGCUAGAGGACCUAAAACUCAUGUUAAUAAUAUUGUCUGAGUACUAUAAUAAUAGUUAAAACUUUCAACAACGGAUCUCUUGGUUCUGGCAUCGAUGAAGAACGC